CCCUUAGAUGUCCGGGGCCGCACGCGCGCUACACUGAAGGAAUCAGCGUGGCUUUCUCCCUGACCCGAAAGGGUUGGGAAACCCGUUGAAUCUCCUUCGUGAUAGGGAUUGGGGCUUGAAAUUGUUCCCCAUGAACGAGGAAUUCCCAGUAAGCGCGAGUCAUAAGCUCGCGUUGAUUACGUCCCUGCCCUUUGUACACACCGCCCGUCGCUACUACCGAUUGAACGGUUUAGUGAGGGCCUCGGAUUGGUCUCGGCCCGCUCUUUACCGGGCGGCGCCGCUGGUCGAGAAGACGCUCGAACUUGAUCGUUUAGAGGAAGUAAAAGUCGUAACA
rnacentral:rRNA from 1 species